rnacentral:rRNA from 1 species
ACGGGAGGCAGCAGUGGGGAAUAUUGCACAAUGGGGGAAACCCUGAUGCAGCGACGCCGCGUGGGUGAAGAAGUAUUUCGGUAUGUAAAGCUCUAUCAGCAAGGAAGAUAAUGACGGUACUUGACUAAGAAGCCCCGGCUAACUACGUGCCAGCAGCCGCGGUAAUACGUAGGGGGCAAGCGUUAUCCGGAUUUACUGGGUGUAAAGGGAGCGUAGACGGUUUGGCAAGUCUGAAGUGAAAGCCCGGAGCUCAACUCCGGUAUUGCUUUGGAAACUGUUGAACUAGAGUGCAGGAGGGGUAAGCGGAAUUCCUAGUGUAGCGGUGAAAUGCGUAGAUAUUAGGAGGAACACCGGUGGCGAAGGCGGCUUACUGGACUGUAACUGACGUUGAGGCUCGAAAGCGUGGGGAGCAAACAGGAUUAGAUACCCUGGUA